rnacentral:lncRNA from 1 species
AAAGAGAGAAAGAAAGGGCAGAUGCAUUUUGUAUAUUUGAUUUUUCUUCACAUUUAUUAAUUUUGAAGAUAGCAUUGCCAUCAUAAUAAAAUGCACGAUUGCAAAAUCAAAGGUGCUUUAAACACCUGUCAUGAACUCCUCAAGCUUGUGUGUGAGUACUGUUGAGCACUUGUCAUCAAACCAUGGAGAACUUUGCUUGUAUUUCAGAUUUAUCCACACUAUAGUUUUUAGCCUGAUCGUGGUGUGCUUAGUUUACCAAGAUGUCUUAGAAAUAUGUCUCUGAUUGCAAGUGAUAAACUAAAAAGAUGGUGAAUCUUUUCACUUUUUAGUAAUAAUUUCAGAAAUCACCAUGGAAACCUGUUAGGAUACCUUGGAAAAGAAUGUAUAGCUAUUGGAGAAUAUAAUUUGGAAGUUUAGAUUGAUGAGAAUCUUUUGGUUAAAUAAUUUUGUGGAUUAGAAAUAAGAUCAUUGAGACACUUGACUUUAUUUAUAGCCUAUAUCCAUUUUCAGGGAAAAAAAAAUGUAACUUUAGAAGGGUGAAUAAUCUCUGCAAGAUAACAUUAGGAAUUUUUUUAAAUAUUUAAAAUUGAAACAUUUAAAAAGUUUAACAUUUAAUUUUUUAAAAAUGAAUGUCCUGAGUAAUGCAUAAAAAAUGCCAUAAUGACCCAUACACUUUGAUGUGUGUUAAAGAGUUAGGCUCUUCCAUUCUCACAGGUGACCAACAACAACAACAACAACCAGGGGGGGGGGGAGACCUAUCCAGGGAUAUGAUUCAUUUUGUUUAUAUUUAAGAUAUAAACAAAACAAUUGUUCAAAAUACUAGUAUCUCUUAGUCUAAGAAUGAAGGAAACUUAUCCUAAAAAUUUUUAUGAACAAAAUAUGUGGAAGUGAAAUUGAGGACAGUAUUCAUGUAGGAUAAUAAUUUCAUGGGGAAAUUUUCUUCCUCUGACCUUCAGCAUGGCCCAGGAGCAUACCAGGAAAGUGCAAUUAGUUUAAAUAAUGUUUCAAGUGGCUGAAAAAACUUUGUGCUAAUCUGAGGCCAUUCCUGGAAAGUAUAGAGUGCUCCUGAGUUCAAUCCCCAGUAAUGGGAAAAAAAUAACUUAUUGAAAUUUGUUUUUAUUUUUACUUAAAGUGUUUUUUGUUUAGUCAGCUAUCUCGAUUCAGAGACCAUAGAUCUAAUGAUCAUGAAUGAUUUCCGUUUCAGCCCAACAAAUCUUUGUGAAUUUCUAGACAGAAGGUUCUAUGAUAGGCGCUGAAUAAAAUGAGUAUGACAUUUUCUUAAAUGCUUCUUCUCUCUUAGCAAACAAAAUAAGUCUUUUACAAUUGGUGACUCAGAGCACACCCUUAAGUCAGACUGGCU